rnacentral:rRNA from 1 species
GUGGGGAAUAUUGGACAAUGGGCGAAAGCCUGAUCCAGCCAUGCCGCGUGUGUGAAGAAGGUCUUCGGAUUGUAAAGCACUUUAAGUUGGGAGGAAGGGCAGUAAGUUAAUACCUUGCUGUUUUGACGUUACCGACAGAAUAAGCACCGGCUAACUUCGUGCCAGCAGCCGCGGUAAUACGAAGGGUGCAAGCGUUAAUCGGAAUUACUGGGCGUAAAGCGCGCGUAGGUGGUUUUGUAAGUUGGAGGUGAAAUCCCCGGGCUCAACCUGGGAACUGCCUCCAAAACUGCAUGACUAGAGUACGGUAGAGGGUAGUGGAAGUUCCUGUGUAGCGGUGAAAUGCGUAGAUAUAGGAAGGAACACCAGUGGCGAAGGCGACUACCUGGACUGAUACUAACACUGAGGUGCGAAAGCGUGGGGAGCAAACAGGAUUAGAUACCCCGGUAGUCC